UUAGUGGCGAACGGGUGAGUAACGCGUGAGUAACCUGCCCUGGAGUGGGGGACAACAGUUGGAAACGACUGCUAAUACCGCAUAAGCCCACGGAUCCGCAUGGAUCUGCGGGAAAAGGAUUUAUUCGCUUCAGGAUGGACUCGCGUCCAAUUAGCUAGUUGGUGAGGUAACGGCCCACCAAGGCAACGAUCAGUAGCCGGCCUGAGAGGGUGAACGGCCACAUUGGGACUGAGACACGGCCCAAACUCCUACGGGAGGCAGCAUG
rnacentral:rRNA from 1 species